UGUGUGCCAUGAUCUCAGGACUUCUGCACUUCCUCUUUCUCUCCGGCUUUGUGUGGAUGUUCAUUGAAGCUGUGCUGCUCUUCAUCUGUGUGAAGAACCUAUCACAGAUCAGCUCCAAAAAGAGGGAGGUGCUUAACAGUGGAUUCCUGUGUGUGAUUGGAUAUCUGGUUGCUCUGGUUGUGGUGUGUGUGUCUGUCGGUCUGGUUCCUGAAGGCUACGGCAGCGAAGAAUGCUGGAUUAAAAUGGAUAAAGGCUUCAUCUGGAGUUUUCUGGGUCCUGUUUGUGUCCUACUAGCAGUAAAUGCAUUUCUUAUUUCUUAUCACUUUAAUAUUAAAAGGAAAAGAUGAUUAAUACUCUUCUACUUUGCAGUUAAACAUGAUUCUCUUCAUCAAGAUCGUCAUCAGUCUGAUCUCAGCACUCAAAACUCUCAAUGCUGAAGUUUCACAGAUGAAACAAACCAAGAUCAUGGUGUUUAAAACACUGGCUCAGUGUGUGGUUCUUGGUUGCUCCUGGAUUCUGGGUUUCUUCACUAAUAGCAGUAAGGUGCUGGAGAUCCUCUUCCUGAUCUUGAACUCCCAGCAGGGAACCUUCAUCUUCCUGAUCUACUGUGUCCUCAAUAAUGAGGUCAGACAUUUA